AUGGGGGAGGAGAAGCUCUCCGCGCGGUGUCUGGCCACCUCCGGCACCCCGGCAGGGAGGAGGAGGAGGAGAAGGAGGAGGAGGAGGAGGAGGAAGGCGAGGCGGCGGGGAGGGGGCUGCGCGGGGACUCCCCCUGCGCGACGGGGCUCUCUCGCUCCGGCCCCGCCGCGCGGGGGACGCCGCCGGACCUCAGCCUCGGGAGCCCCCUCCGGCUGCGGGCGGGGGGGAGGAAGACGAGGAGGAGGAAGAAGAGGAGGAGGAGGAGGGUGGUGUGGGGGUGUCCCCACCGGGCAGCCCCCCCCCUUUCCGGGAUCCCGCUGCCGGGCGCGGCCCCACACACAAGUUUGGGGGCUCCCCGCACGGCCGCGGCUCUUCCAAAUAACGCUCCGCAUUUUUAUUUGUUAUUUUUAUUUAUUUUUGGGGGGGGAGGGUCCCGUCCGUCGCCGCCCCCCCCCCACCCCCCCUGUUUCCCUCUCCCCACUCCGCAGCCCCCCGGCUCCCCGUUACCUCCUGUCCGCCAUCUCGGGUGAGCGCCGCCGCGUCCCGGGGCAGGCCCGGCGGGGGCCCGGCCGGCCGCCCCCCGGAGGCUUCACGGGUAAAGGAAGGAUGUUACCAUUUCUGUACUGA
rnacentral:lncRNA from 1 species